rnacentral:rRNA from 1 species
AUUGAACGCUGGCGGCAGGCCUAACACAUGCAAGUCGAACGGUAACAGGAAGCAGCUUGCUGCUUCGCUGACGAGUGGCGGACGGGUGAGUAAUGUCUGGGAAGCUGCCUGAUGGAGGGGGAUAACUACUGGAAACGGUAGCUAAUACCGCAUAAUGUCGCAAGACCAAAGAGGGGGACCUUCGGGCCUCUUGCCAUCGGAUGUGCCCAGAUGGGAUUAGCUUGUUGGUGGGGUAACGGCUCACCAAGGCGACGAUCCCUAGCUGGUCUGAGAGGAUGACCAGCCACACUGGAACUGAGACACGGUCCAGACUCCUACGGGAGGCAGCAGUGGGGAAUAUUGCACAUUGGGCGCAAGCCUGAUGCAGCCAUGCCGCGUGUAUGAAGAAGGCCUUCGGGUUGUAAAGUACUUUCAGCGGGGAGGAAGGGAGUAAAGUUAAUACCUUUGCUCAUUGACGUUACCCGCAGAAGAAGCACCGGCUAACUCCGUG